rnacentral:rRNA from 1 species
AUACGGAGGGUGCAAGCGUUAUUCGAAAUCACUGGGCGUAAAGGACGCGUAGGCGGGUUGGCAAGUCAGAUGUGAAAUCCUACAGCUUAACUGUAGAACUGCAUUUGAAACUGCUAACCUAGAGUAUGGGAGGGGGAGAUGGAAUUAGUGGUGUAGGGGUAAAAUCCGUAGAUAUCACUAGGAAUACCGAAAGCGAAGGCGAUCUCCUGGAACAUAACUGACGCUAAGGCGUGAAAGCGUGGGGAGCAAACAGGAUUAGAUACCCUAGUAGUCC